rnacentral:rRNA from 1 species
AUGGAUAGCUUAUUUGCUUCGUUGUAUAUACUUUGUAGUUUCAAUGAUGAGGCAUAUAUGUCAACUCUGGAUGUUGGCUCCAACAAUUCACAUUGGUCUGAAACCAAUGAGAUGCAUUUCGAUGAUCAUGAGUUUGAGGUGGACGAGGAUGGUGAGGGCAUCAUCGAUGCACCGAAAGGAAGAGGGGGCAACUACACCAUGGAUGAAGACAUCUUGAUAUGCAAUACUUGGUUGCAAGUGUUGAGGGAUCCCUCCGUUGGAGGGGAUCAAAGUAGAGAUGCAUAUUGGCUCCGGAUGAAGGAGCACUUUGAUCUACACAAAAAAGUGGAAUUGACCGCUUCGGAAGAUCUCCCCGUGGUCGACAAUCAACCGAGAUUGUGA